rnacentral:tRNA from 1 species
GCCCUGAUAGCUCAGCUGGUAGAGCGCGUGACUUGUAAUCACGCGGCCGGGGGUUCAAAUCCCUCUCAGGGCU